rnacentral:rRNA from 1 species
AACGAACGCUGGCGGCAUGCCUAAUACAUGCAAGUCGAACGAGAUCUUCGGAUCUAGUGGCGCACGGGUGCGUAACGCGUGGGAAUCUGCCCUUGGGUUCGGAAUAACGUCUGGAAACGGACGCUAAUACCGGAUGAUGACGAAAGUCCAAAGAUUUAUCGCCCAGGGAUGAGCCCGCGUAGGAUUAGCUUGUUGGUGAGGUAAAGGCUCACCAAGGCGACGAUCCUUAGCUGGUCUGAGAGGAUGAUCAGCCACACUGGGACUGAGACACGGCCCAGACUCCUACGGGAGGCAGCAGUAGGGAAUAUUGGACAAUGGGGGCAACCCUGAUCCAGCAAUGCCGCGUGAGUGAUGAAGGCCUUAGGGUUGUAAAGCUCUUUUACCCGGGAUGAUAAUGACAGUACCGGGAGAAUAAGCCCCGGCUAACUCCGUGCCAGCAGCCGCAGUAACAC